UAUGUUUCCCCAAUCUUCCUCAACAUGAUACCAUUAAUUACAAUAGGAAUGAUUUUGUCACUGCAAACACUUGAAAAGAUUACUGUCAUCGAGCUCCUUCUCUGGCCAAAUGGCACCCACUGGCUCGUCAGCAAUGCGCCAUUCUCCGCCUUUUGGCAAAGGGGUGGUUGGGCUCAUGGCAUGUGUUCGCUGACACACCUGUUACAACAGGCAGAGAGCACGGAGAUGGGGAGGCUCUCUCAAUUCAGUUCCUGUGACUGGAGGGUGCCAAAAUGCUUCAGGGCUACUGAAGUGUUGACAUCUCUAGUGCAAUUUUCAUCACUCUCUUUGCUAAAUAAAAUAAGCUUUCCAAUACGGCCCAGGA